rnacentral:lncRNA from 1 species
CCUUUAAGUUUGGGGUAGCUUUGCAGUACGUGAAUAGUAAGUGAAUGUCGUAUAAAAGAAAAAAAAAACAACAUGAAAAGAAAGAAAGAGAAAAGCGAAAAACAAUAAAAAUAGCUUUUGAAAAAUGCUACAUUCACUAUAGAAAAAGGAAAAGAGGAUUACAAAACCCUACAGGAAUAAUAGGAAAGAAACGUAGUGAGAGAAUGAUUUCAUAUACUCUGAACCAAAAUGAUUACAAAACCCUACAGGAAUAAUAGGAAAGAAACGUAGUGAGAGAAUGAUUUCAUAUACUCUGAACCAAAAAAA